GGAUCAUUACUGAGUUUACGCUCUAUAACCCUUUGUGAACAUACCUAUAACUGUUGCUUCGGCGGGUAGGGUCUCCGUGACCCUCCCGGCCUCCCGCCCCCGGGCGGGUCGGCGCCCGCCGGAGGAUAACCAAACUCUGAUUUAACGACGUUUCUUCUGAGUGGUACAAGCAAAUAAUCAAAACUUUUAACAACGGAUCUCUUGGUUCUGGCAUCGAUGAAGAACGCAGCGAAAUGCGAUAAGUAAUGUGAAUUGCAGAAUUCAGUGAAUCAUCGAAUCUUUGAACGCACAUUGCGCCCGCCAGCAUUCUGGCGGGCAUGCCUGUUCGAGCGUCAUUUCAACCCUCAAGCUCUGCUUGGUGUUGGGGCCCUACAGCUGAUGUAGGCCCUCAAAGGUAGUGGCGGACCCUCCCGGAGCCCUCCUUUGCGUAGUAACUUUACGUCUCGCACUGGGAUCCGGAGGGACUCUUGCCGUAAAACCCCCAAUUUUCCAAAGGUUGACCUCGGAUCAGGUAGGAAUACCCGCUGAACUUAAGCAUAUCAAUA
rnacentral:rRNA from 1 species